rnacentral:misc_RNA from 1 species
GUGAAUCAUCGAAUCUUUGAACGCAAAUUGCACUCUCUUGGGAGAGUAUGAGUGUUUGAGGGUCAGCCUAAAAAAAAUCGAUAUCGUUGCUGUUUCGCGGGGUCGUUCGUCGGAAGUUGUGUUCUCUUAUAUCUUUGGUUUAAGCGACUUGAAAUUUUCUUUACGAUUCCAUGACCGUUUCCAAGAUUUAUUUCUUUAUACGUUUAAGGUAUCGAUUUUAUUAUGCGUGGUAGUAAUAUCGGUU